GACGUAGGGGGCCAGCGUUGCUCGGAAUUACUGGGCGUAAAGGGUUCGUAGGCGGUGCGGCAAGUCGGGCGCGAAAUCUCUGGGCUUAACUCAGGGGCUGCUUCCGAAACUGCCGUGCUUGAGUGCGGGAGAGGCGAGUGGAAUUGCAGGUGUAGCGGUGAAAUGCGUAGAUAUCUGCAGGAACACCCGUGGCGAAGGCGGCUCGCUGGACCGCAACUGACGCUGAGGAACGAAAGCUAGGGGAGCAAACAGG
rnacentral:rRNA from 1 species